rnacentral:rRNA from 1 species
AUGUCUAAAUGAUUUGUUUUUUCUUAACAUUAGAUUGCAGACGGCUCAUUAUAACAGUUAUUGUAUUAUUGACGUUAAAUUUUAGGUGGAUACCUGUGGUAAUUCUAGAGCUAAUACAUGCCACACAAAAUGUACAUUUGCGUAUAUUAUUAAGGUAUUAUUUUUUUUCAAAUUAAAAUGUUUCGGCAGUAUGGAUGAUUCAUAGUAAUGGUUUUAGAACGCGAUUGAGUACGCGCCCUGUUAUGUAAGUUUCUGACCUAUCAGUUAGUCAGUAGUGUAUUGGACUACUGAGGCGUUGACGGGUAACAGAGAAUUAGGGUUCUGUUCCGGAGAGGGAGCCUGAGAAACAGCUACUACAUCUAAGGAAGGCAGCAGGCGCGUAAAUUACCCAAUUCUGAUAAAUAGAGGUAGUGACAAGAAAUCAUAAUAUUUUGCCUUAGGGUUAAGUAAUUGUAUUGAGAACAGAGUAGUCAUAUUAUCGAUAAACUAUUGGAGGGCAAGUCUGGUGCCAGCAGCCGCGGUAAUUCCAGCUCCAAUAGUGUAUGCUAACAUUGUUGCAGUUAAAAAGCUCGUAGUCGAAUUUUUAAGGGAAUCAAUUUUAAGUGGUCUCAAAGAACUGCAGAAAAAGAUGAUUUAUCUUACUUUAUGCUUGUUCACCGUUGGAAUUUAUUUUCUGAUAGUAAUUUGGGUAUAAGUUUACUUUGAGAAAAUUUGAGUGUUCAAAACAGUCUUACGGCUUUUUAUUAAAGCAUGGAAUGAUACAUAAUGACAUCGGUUAAGUUUUGUUGGUUUGAAUAGCUGAUGUAAUGAUGGAUAGAGUUAGUCGGAGGUAUUAGUAUUUUGUCGUUAGAAGUGAAAUUCCGGGAUCGACAAAAGACAAACAACUGCGAAAGCAUUUGCCUAGUAUUUGCUCCUUGAUCAAGAACGUAAGUUGGGGGAUCGAAGACGAUCAGAUACCGUCGUAGUCUCAACUUUAAACUAUAUCAACUAGGGGUUGGCAAAUGUGUAUACGACUUUGUCAGAACCUUAUGAGAAAUCAAAGUGUUUGGGUUCCGGGGGGAGUAUGGUCGCAAGGCUGAAACUUAAAGGAAUUGACGGAAGGGCACCACAAGAUGUGGAUCCUGUGGCUUAAUUUGACUCAACACGGGAAAACUCACCAGGUCCAGACAUAGGUAGGACUGACAGAAUGAUAGCUCUUUCUUGAUUCUAUGGGUGGUGGUGCAUGGCCGUUCUUAGUUGGUGGAGUGAUUUGUCUGGUUAAUUCCGUUAACGAACGAGACUACUACUUGCUAAAUAGCAAAAAAUUUUUUACUAGAAUAUUUGCUUCUAGAAGGA